rnacentral:rRNA from 1 species
GAUGAACGCUGACAGAAUGCUUAACACAUGCAAGUCAACUUGAACUUCGGUUUGGGUGGCGGACGGGUGAGUCACGCGUAAAGAACUUGCCUCACAGCUAGGGACAACAUUUGGAAACGAAUGCUAAUACCUGAUAUUAUGAUUUUAGGGCAUCCUAGAAUUAUGAAAGCUAUAUGCGCUGUGAGAGAGCUUUGCGUCCCAUUAGCUAGUUGGAGAGGUAACGGCUCACCAAGGCGAUGAUGGGUAGCCGGCCUGAGAGGGUGAACGGCCACAAGGGGACUGAGACACGGCCCUUACUCCUACGGGAGGCAACAGUGGGGAAUAUUGGACAAUGGACCAAGAGUCUGAUCCAGCAAUUCUGUGUGCACGAUGAAGUUUUUCGGAAUGUAAAGUGCUUUCAGUUGGGAAGAAAAAAAUGACGGUGCCAACAGAAGAAGUGACGGCUAAAUACGUG